rnacentral:lncRNA from 1 species
UUGGCCCCUUUUAAAAUAACCCUAGCCCCUUUUAUUUCCCCAUAGUUUUCUCCUCUUUGGGUCCUCUGUUCGGCCAAGUUUGGUGCACUUACCACCACAAUGAAUCAAAAAGAGAGCCUCGAUCCCGAUCGGAUUUGGUUUUAACGAAGGAGAACCCCGACGUCCUACCAAUCAAUCAGGUGAGUCUCCCUCUUAUCCCUUUUUCUUUUUUUUUUUUUUGGAUGUAAUGAGAGGACCUUUCCGUCCAACCACUAAAGCUCCAUUGCAACCGACGAAUAGCACAAAAUCUCAAGACCUUGCCCUUUUAUUCCCGAAAUCCCCUUUGAACUUAGACUUCAACGAAGGAAAAUGGGUUCGUCGCAUCAAAAACAAACUAAGAUAAAAGAAUUAUCCAAAAAAUAAACGUAAUAACAAAUCAAAGAAUAGAAUCACCUUCUAACUUUUUGGAUCUUUUUUUUUAUUUCGUAUUCGUAUUAUGCGUUCGUAAGUUUUUUGCAAGUACAUUCGUCAGCUUUUAUAGUCGGAUUUACUGAGUAAAAUCAAAAAAUAAAAUUACAUUUUAUUGCUGUUAUUUGCUGUAGAUUCUGUUAUUCUCCUUCUCGUAUAUUCCAUUUGCAGGACAGGCCGUACACAAGCACAAGCAGAGACGCGCGUGAGAGGUUGGUGGCGCACGUGCGCUGCUCAUCCGAAUUGCUGGCUGCUGCGCGAGAGGGAGAAACCUUAGAGCUUUUAGAACAAUCACCUGGACCAGUUUUUGGGUCGUGUAUUGAAUGUGCUGGGACUUUGGGUUAUUUAAUUGGGUUUAGGAUUUAUGCAUUGGGUUUUAAAAAAUGUAUCUGGGCUGGACUGUAUAUAUAUUUUGGGUUAAAUAACUUGUAAAUGGACAUUGACUUAUUCUGGGCUGUUCAUUGUUUUUGUUUUUAUUUUUUGGUUUUUGGUUUUGUAUAGGCCCAGGCUAAUUGGGCCUAUUACAAAAACAUAUUAUCAAAUAAAGCUUAGCUUAACAAUCUUCCCCUUUUUGAUAUAACAAAAUAUUUGGUAAAUUUAUUUUUGAAUAAAUUGCUUUCCCUUAAUAAAAAUCAUUUU